rnacentral:tRNA from 1 species
UGCAGGAAAAGGGCCGAGUUCCGGCUCAUAACCUGAAGGUCGUAGGUUCAAAUCCUACUCCCGCAACCA